GGUCCUAUAGCUCAGUGGUAGAGCGUACGAUUGCAGAUCGUACUGUCGCGUGUUCGAGCCACGCUGGGACCU